UGUGAGAACAGUACCCGUGUCC
rnacentral:misc_RNA from 1 species